UACGUAGGUGGCGAGCGUUAUCUGGAUUUACUGGGUGUAAGGGCGUGUAGGCGGCUCUGCAAGUCAGAUGUGAAAUUUCCGGGCUUAACCCGGACGGGUCAUCUGAAACUGCAGGACUUGAGUACUUGAGAGGAUAGCGGAAUUCCUAGUGUAGCGGUAAAAUGCGUAGAUAUUAGGAGGAACACCGGUGGCGAAGGUGGCUAUCUGGACAGUAACUGACGCUGAGGCGCGAAAGCGUGGGGAGCAAACAGGAUUAGAUACCCUGGUAGU
rnacentral:rRNA from 1 species